UGGGGAAUUUUGGACAAUGGGCGAAAGCCUGAUCCAGCAAUGCCGCGUGUGUGAAGAAGGCCUUCGGGUUGUAAAGCACUUUUGUCCGGAAAGAAAUCCUUGGCUCUAAUACAGUCGGGGGAUGACGGUACCGGAAGAAUAAGCACCGGCUAACUACGUGCCAGCAGCCGCGGUAAUACGUAGGGUGCAAGCGUUAAUCGGAAUUACUGGGCGUAAAGCGUGCGCAGGCGGUUUGCUAAGACCGAUGUGAAAUCCCCGGGCUCAACCUGGGAACUGCAUUGGUGACUGGCAGGCUAGAGUAUGGCAGAGGGGGGUAGAAUUCCACGUGUAGCAGUGAAAUGCGUAGAGAUGUGGAGGAAUACCGAUGGCGAAGGCAGCCCCCUGGGCCAAUACUGACGCUCAUGCACGAAAGCGUGGGGAGCAAACAGGAUUAGAUACCCUGGUAGUCCACGCCCUAAACGAUGUCAACUAGUUGUUGGGGGAUUCAUUUUCCUUAGUAACGUAGCUAACGCGUGAAGUUGACCGCCUGGGGAGUACGGUCGCAAGAUUAAAACUUAAAUGAAUUGACGGGGUCAUAGCUGUUUCCU
rnacentral:rRNA from 1 species